UGGUGGAGCGAUUUGUCUGGUCAAUUCCGAUAACGAGCGAGACUCUAGCCUACUAAAUAGUUCGGGGACCCCCACAAAGGGGCCCCGCUUCAACUUCUUAGAGGGACAGGUGGCGUUUAGCCACACGAGAUAGAGCAAUAACA
rnacentral:rRNA from 1 species